rnacentral:rRNA from 1 species
UACGUAGGCAGCGAGCGUUGUUCGGAAUUACUGGGCGUAAAGCGUGCGCAGGCGGUUCUAUAAGACAGAUGUGAAAUCCCCGGGCUCAACCUGGGAACUGCAUUUGUGACUGUAGAGCUGGAGUACGGCAGAGGGGGAUGGAAUUCCGCGUGUAGCAGUGAAAUGCGUAGAUAUGCGGAGGAACACCGAUGGCGAAGGCAAUCCCCUGGGCCUGUACUGACGCUCAUGCACGAAAGCGUGGGGAGCAAACAGG